rnacentral:misc_RNA from 1 species
AAAUCUCAACCUCCUCGGUUUCUUUUGAAAGCCAAAGGAGGCUUGGACUUUGGAGGGCUUUGCUGGACUCGAAAAGGCCAGCUCCUCUCAAAUGAAUUAGCGAGGUCCCCUUUGCCGAUCCUCGACGUGUGAUAAGAUGCUUCCACGUCUCGGUCUUUGGCUCUGUCGAAUCUUGGGACCUGCUUCCAAUCGUCUCUCUACGAGACAACGUUCGAGCUCGCCUCGACCACGUAC